UUGAAAGGGAAACGAUUGAAGUCAGUCGUACCGACGAGGAAUCAACCUUUUGAGGGUGGAUAUGUGGGAUUCAAAGUGCCUUUGUUUUUCGCAACAUCAGCUUUUUUUGGGUGCACUUUCUCGUAUGGUUGGUCAGCAUCGGUUUUGAUCGUUAUAAAAUGACAGGAGGAAUGUAGCUUCGAUCUCGUAUUGAAGUGUUAUAGCCUUUGGUAGAUGUAACGGUUAGGAUCGAGGAUUGCAACGGAUACCCUCAUGGGCUACCCGCCUGGUCUCUGAUUUGUCAUUCUGGUGCCGAAAGCUUGCUUAUGGUAUUAAAGUGUACGGUCAAAAGGUUAGAACGGGAUAAAUUCGUUAAGGAUGUUGACGUA
rnacentral:rRNA from 1 species